AUUAUGUUUUAAAAAAUAAAUCAAAAGAGCAACUACUGAGUAUCUUGCCGGCUCUUCUCAGUCGAAUUUUCUUUCCGAACCGGUGGUAGAGUCUUGACAUAUCAUAAAUGGCACAU